AAUUUCCGUACGGAACUAACUUAAUUAAAUUAGUUUCUUACAAAAUGUGUCGGACAUUUUGAAUCUUUCAUUAUGAUUAAAAAUUAGAGUUUCUUAUUAAUCUUAAAUUAUGUAAUAAAGGUUUAGAAAAAAUAAAAGAAAUUUGUUUUUAGUAUUAUAUUGUGGCUAAUGAAGGAGUUAAAAAGUCCUUCCAGUCAGUUGCAACAACAAUUAAAGCAGCAGGAAACAGCCAAGUACACAUGCAAGUGAUUGUUAUGAAGGUUGCAAAACUUUUAAAUAUCAGAAACUGAAGAAAGUAUUGAUAAUCAGCAGAUAUCAAAAAAGUGCAGAAGUACUGAUUAUACAACUCUUUUUAAGUUGAGGAAGAAUUUUAUGUUAAUGUUAAUGCAAAAGGUACGAAUAUUGACAGUUAAACCAUCACCACUUCCACAGCCACCUUGUCUCAAGCAUUAAAUCGCAUUCUAAGAUAUCUUUAUUCAAAUUAAGUGUGACUACUUUACCAAAAGACUCAAGAAUGGACCAAUCAACUAACCAUCAGUACUUGCAAAGUCUCCUUUUCUGUAAGCCCAAAAAUUGAGUUCUAAAAUACCAUUAUCCACAUAACUACUAUAUCAAAGUACAAUCUAAUGGAUUGAUCAAUGAAACUGUCGGUAUCUCCACAACUUUUCAAUUAAAUAAAAAGUUUCAAUUAAACAGGAUACUAAGUGUGCCUACUGCUCCUCAAGACAAUGAAUAAUGGGAGUUAUCAAACUUAUACAUACAUAUAUAUAUAUGUUGUACAGAUAUUGUUAUAAAGUAAUAGAAUACUGUAUAAUAUUGUAUUAUACAGUAUUCUAUUACUUUAUAAACUUAUUUAAACGCUUUUAACAAGUUUAGUUACAAGUUAAUGUUAUGUGUUGAUGUACCUUCAACCAAAUUAGUGUUAACAUUUUAGCAAAAUGUCAUAUUGCCAGCCUGUUGGAAGAACCAAAAGCUUGAUAUUUUAUUGAAUUGUUAUUUUAGUUUGUGAUAUUAUAAUUUUUAUUCACAAAAUGUUAAAUAAUUUACUUUUUAAAUU
rnacentral:misc_RNA from 1 species